rnacentral:lncRNA from 11 species
GCUUCCUUAAGAACUCCAGAGGCAGAUGAGGCUUGAUUUUGCCAGGGUUGCAGCACUGCAUUGUUGGGGAGAUUGAACCAUGUUCCUGCAAAACCCAAAGCGAAGCCAGAACUUCCCUGCCAUUUUAACCCAAGCUGAACCAAAUCGCCCAGGCCUUUCCUCUUCUCCGGAUCGAGGCGGAAGAGAACUCCAAGGCCCCAUGAUGGAGGCAGGGAAGUCAGGCCCUGUGCGUUCUUCUUCCUGGCCUCAAGAUCAGCCUGGAACCUCGAGUGAGGCCUUGGAGGAGGCGCGCCAGGCUCCGGCAGCCUCCCAACAGAGCAGCCAAGGCAGCCUGGCCCCUUUGCCGAAGAAGAGGUCCUACAGCACGGAGAUGUUCAGCAUGUGGAGAGACAUCCGCUGGUUCCAGAUCCCGCUGUCUUCUUUGCGGAGGCCCAAAGCGGGGCUGUUCAGCUUCACCUUCCAGUCCAGUCUCCAGGAGUACCAGCAGGUCCGGAAGUCCAAGCGACUGAAGGUGGGCCGGCCAUUCUCCGUGCUGCCGCUUCCGGGCUUACCUUCGACGCUGGAUGAUUGUCCCCGGGAAGCUCCACACAAGCGGAAUGACAGUCGCAGAUGCUUGAGAGCCGGGAAGGCUAGAGGCAGGAAAAGCCUCUCAUCUCUCAAAAAAGGACAUCAGGCUUCAGGAGGAUUGAACACAAGGUUACAGAAGUGCCUGACAGCCACCCACAUUAUGCCCAAGAGUUAUAUCUUCUGCUCAAAAGCUCCUCAAGGAGAAAAGAAAGAGUCCAGUGGUUGCUCUGGCAAGAAAUGGAGGAAAGGUCUGGCUCUGAAAGCUCAGAGCCUCCCAAGCAGGUCUCCUUCUGCCUGCUCCACAGCAGAGACUGAUGGAAGUAGUGACCAAUUUGGGAUUUGGGAUGGUACCCGCUCUCAGUUGGAAGAAGACGAUGGGUUCCCUCCUGACUGGAGUCCGCCGCGGAUUGAUUUCAUGUAUGAGAAUCCUCCUCCUUUGAGCCCUGCUCCUGGGCCUUUGUCUGCAUCACAGAGCUCCGGAGAGAUGCCAGAUAUCACCAAAGGGCUUGAUAAGUUGCCACCAAGGGAGUGUGCAACAGUGGCCUCCUCUCCAACCGAAAGCCAUUUGCUGUUCCUUGAGGAGUCUGUCGACAUGGAGGAUGUGGUGCAUGAAAGUGAGGAAGUGGGAAGUCCAGACCGUCCCUUGAGCAACUUGUGUCCAGAGGGAAAUGAGGAGCAAGAAGGUAACAUGUUUGAGGACCAAAGCCCGGCCAAUGACCAGAUGGCCUUGGACUUGGAAGAUCAUCCAUCAUUACUAUCUCCCAUCCAUCCGCUGCCCAUUGUCCAUGUCAGAAGCAGUAUCUCAACCACCUUGGAGGAGUUUUCAGGGGCCCCCAAGGGGCUGGUUUAUGAAUCAGAUGCAGUGGAGGAGGAAUCGGGGCCAGAAUAUCCCACUGCUUUCAUCCCAGUGACCUUAUCCAGGAUGUCCUGUGAAGGCAGUGCCUCUGCAUCCAUGGAUGAGCUUUCUGGUGGGUCUGAGGGGUCGGACGUGGAGGAAGACAAUGAUGACGGGGACCUCUUGCCCCUUGAAGAACUCCUUUGGACCAGCAACACAAAUUCAAGUGCUGUAAAAACAAAAACAACGUUCCUUUCACCAGAGCAGGAUUGUUUCCUCAGCAAUCUGGACAAACUUCUGGAAGAGAAAAGGUAAGGUGCCUACAGGUACGAUUUGUAAUCUAAAGGUGUCGUGAGCUGGGCCUCUGCCAUGAAACA